rnacentral:siRNA from 1 species
GAUACAGGAUUAACGUGUGGUGAG